rnacentral:rRNA from 1 species
AUGCAGUCAUACGGGAGUUUUGAACUCCAGUGGCGGACGGGUGAGUAACACGUAAGAAUUUGCCUUUAGGAGGGGGAUAAGCUGGAGACAGUAAGUAAUACCCCAUAUGCUUUCGAGUGAAAUGAAUUGUUUCGCCUAGAGAGAAGCUUGCGGCUGAUUAGCUUGUUGGUAGGGUAAUGGCCUACCAAGGCGACGAUCAGUAUCUGGUUUGAGAGGACGAUCAGACACACUGGAACUGAGACACGGUCCAGACUCCUACGGGAGGCAGCAGUGGGGAAUUUUCCGCAAUGGGCGAAAGCCUGACGGAGCAAUACCGCGUGAGGGAGGAAGGCUCUUGGGUUGUAAACCUCAAAACUUAGGGAAGAAAAAAAUGACGGUACCUAAUAUAAGCAUCGGCUAACUCCGUGCCAGCAGCCGCGGUAAUACG